CUUUUCAAUGUCACCUUAAAAAUAUGCAUAUGCUUCUUACAAUUUUGAAACUGAAAUUAAUAAGAACAUAUAUAAAUGCAACUAUAAUGCCAACCACCACCUACACAGCUACUUCUAGUCCACUGAUUUUAAGCCAUACUAACAAAUCCUAUAUCAAUUAAAAUGCUUCAUUAUUCUGUUUUCAAAUUAAACUUUCUAAAUAACUUCUAUCUUUCUUCUUGCAUAUGGUUGACAUUUUAAUUAAGAUGUUAGAUUUAUGCCUCUGUGAAUUUGUAGUUUCAACAUUAAAACAAAGUCAAAUUUACAGAUUUUAAGACAUUCUGUAAUUUGAUUUUUAUAAGAUGAUCACUGUAUUUACAUAAAGUUGAGUUAUAAGUUAGGGAAGAAAAAAUUUCUGUUAAAUUAAUGUAAAAUACUUACAAUAAUAACCAUAACAAUGACUCUGAGAGAAUAUAGGGAGCUGACUCUUACCUGUAAAUGAGUAUACUUGCAACAAGUCAUCUCAAAUUGAGCACUUUUAUGAAAAAAAAUAGGACCUCUACCAAAAUGUCAUUAAUCAAACCAUUACUCACGCUAUGAUGAACUCCUAAGACGACUAACUUUAAUUUGCAUUUAACUAACUAGCGUAAGUUUAGAAAGAAAACCAUUUUGCAACAAAAUUUCCCACAAGUGGAAGCAUUUUCAGAAACCUUGAAGCAUAAUCACUAUUAUUUUUUAAGAGAUUUUGGAAAAUAAAGUGAGAAUAGACAGCUUUUACUAAAGUAAAUUUACAGAAGCAGUGAUGAAAAUGUAACUGUAAAGUUACCUCUGGAUCUCUCUUUUUUUUUUUUUUUUUUUUUUUGAGACGGAGUCUUGCUCUGUUGCCCAGGCUGGAGUGCAGUGGCGCUAUGUCGGCUCACUGCAAGCUCCGCCUCCCAGGUUGACGCCAUUCUCCUGCCUAAGCCUCCUGAGUAGCUGGGACUACAGGCGCCCGCCACGAUGCCUGGCUAUUUUUUUUGUAUUUUUACUAGAGACGGGGUUUCACCGCAUUAGCCAGGAUGGUCUGGAUCUCCUGACCUCGUAAUCUGCCUGCCUCGGCCUCCCAAAGUGCUGGGAUUUCAGGCGUGAGCCAUCGCGCCCGGCCAGAUCUCUUAAACAACAAAAUAAUUUCUCUUUUGGCCAAUACUUCUAUUCAUUCCCUUAACUUUAGCUACAAUUUCUUUAUGCUGGGAAGGUGGCUGGAAAGCCAAAAGCUCCAGGACUUUCACCUAGUCCCUGGACAUAAGUGUCCCACCCUUCUUGUCCAUUUCGCCAAUGUUCAUUCAGUGCCUCUGGCUUAUAUAUCACGUCUUAUAUAUCAGACGUGGCUUAUAUAUCAGAUGUCUUUGCCAGGGGUCAUUGUUAGACAGGAAUAUAAGCUUAACACUUAUUAUCAGUCUUCCUUAUUUUAAGCCCAAACUUUUGUUACUAUUCAGUCACAUGAUUUUGGCAAGGUAACUAAGAUCCCUGAGCUCCAAUUUCCUCAUGAAAAUAGUGAAGGAUGUGCAGAUAUAUAUACAUAUAAAAUACAUAUACAUAAAACAUAAAAAUACAUAUAUACGUACGUAUAUACAUAUAUGUGUGUAUAUACGUACGUAUAUACAUAUAUGUGUGUAUGCGUACGUAUAUACAUAUAUGUGUGUAUGCGUACGUAUAUACAUAUAUGUGUGUAUGCGUACGUAUAUACAUAUAUGUGUGUAUGCGUACGUAUAUAAAUAUAUGUGUGUAUGCGUACGUAUAUACAUACAUACAUGCAUGUAUAUACAUAUAUAUGGGUAUACAUACAUGUAUAUGUAUGUAUGUAUUUUUUUUUCCCAAUGCUGUGAAUUGCUUUGCCUGCUAUGAAGGACCAAAUGCUAUUUUUUCCAGGCACAACUUAAUAUUUUAUUAACUAAAUUAUACUAAAUGUUACCAGUUGCCUAGGGUAAUGUCAUAGUAAGUACUCUGAGAUAAAUUCUUGUCUGCUGUAGGAUUCCUUAAGCUGAAGUCUAUGUUAACUCAGCCAGCACUCCAGCGAUCAGGGUGAUUUUGCUGUGCCACAAAUAUGCCCAGUUUACUGCAUUCUUCUUCAAGGCACUUACCCUCUCUUUAAAGCCUUGAUAACAUUUCCCCUUCUUCCUUUAUGAGCACUUUCAAAGUCUUAAACAUUUUCACCUGAUGACUUCAACAGGUGCAUGUUGGGGACUUGGCAGCUGUGGUUUUCGUCACACACACAGCCGACAUCUGAACAAAGGCACAGACAUUCCUAACCACAAUCCACACAUUGCUUACCUAUUUCCAUCCUCAAAAACUUAAAUUAAUGGAUUUUAAAUUUCUUAAUAUUCCUAGAGAGAGAAAAAGGGCAGGCCCAGGAAUUUAGAUACAAGCCUACAUUCAAAUAACACAUUUCAAUUAGGAGAAUGUAAAAUAUAAACUCUCCUACUAUAUAUAUACUUGAACACUAGAGGGAAAAUCACCCAACAUGUUAAAUAAAAAUUCCACAAGGUAGAUAUUGUAUAGUGUAUCUUUAACUGAAAACACUUCAUGCAACUUUUAUAGUUUCCACGUGCAGCCUAAGCCCUAAUCUGUUUCAAUAAAAUAAAUGUAUGUUGGCUGGGUAUGGUGGCUCACACCUAUAAUCCCAGCAUUUUGGGAGGCCGAGGCAGGCAGAUCACUUGAGGUCAGGAGUUCAAGACCAGCCUGGCCUACAUGGCGAAAACCCUUCUCUACUAAAAAUACAAAAAAAAAAAAAAAAAAAAAAAAUUAGCCAGGUGUGGUGGCAGGUGCCUGUAAUCCCAGCUACUCGGGAGGCUGAGGGAGGAUAAUUGCUUAAACCCAGGAGGCAGAGGUUGCAGUCAGCUGAGAUUGUGCCACUGCACUCCAGCCUGACAGAGGGCGACUGCAUUUCAAAACAAUAAAAAAUAAAAUAAAUAGAGUAAGUGUAUGUAUAGAUUAAAAGUCACCUCUAAUGAAUUAAAGGACACCCAUAAUUAUAACAUGCAAGGGAAAAUAUUAAUAUUUCAGAUGUAUAUACCAAUGAAAACUGGAAAUAAGAACUUGAUUUUAAAAGGUAGCAGUAUCUGAAUUGAAAUAACUAAUUUAACUCUAUGAUG
rnacentral:lncRNA from 10 species